ACGGGUGUGCACUGUCGUGUCCGUCUACCUCUGGUUUCGAUCUAUAGUGCUCUUAACCGGGUGCUAUAGAAUGCCAGAAGUUUACUCUGAAAAAUUAGAGUGCUUAAAGCAGCCGUUGUGCUGGAAUACUUGUGCAUGAAUAAUAGAAUAGACCUCGAUCUAUUUUGUUGGUUUUCGGAGUCGAGGUAAUGAUUAAGAGGGACAGACGGGGGCAUCUCGUAUGCGCCGUUAGAGGUGAAAUUCUGGAUCGGCGCAAGACGAACAACUGCGAAAGCAUUUGCCAAGGAUGUUUUCAUUAAUCAAGAACGAAAGUCAGAGGUUCGAAGACGAUCAGAUACCGUGUAGUUCUGACCCAUAAACGAUGCCAACUGGCGAUCUCGCCGUAGUCUGGCUUAAAGGACUCGGCGGGCAGCCUCCGGGAAACCUAAGUCUAUGGGUUCCGGGGGAAGUAUGGUUGCAAAGCUGAAACUUAAAGGAAUUGACGGAAGGGCACCACCAGGAGUGGAGCCUGCGGCUUAAUUUGACUCAACACGGGAAAACUCACCCGGCCAGGACACCGUAAGGAUUGACAGACUGAGAGCUCUUUCUUGAUUCGGUGGGUGGUGGUGCAUGGCCGUUCUUAGUUGGUGGAGCGAUUUGUCUGGUUAAUUCCGAUAACGAACGAGACUCUAGCCUGCUAAAUAGACGGGCGAUCCCAUUGUGGGUCGACCCGAUCAGCUUCUUAGAGGGACAAGUGG
rnacentral:rRNA from 1 species